rnacentral:rRNA from 1 species
AGGAAAGGAAAGCAACUGCGAUUGCUCCAGKAAUGGCGAAUGAAAUGGCAUCCCAUGGCUCUCCCUGAAGUGAGUUUCCCUGUUGUUUGAAGGACCCACCCUGCCAAAGGGUUGGGUUGCGAUCGGCUAUCGUUGGAUCUCGGCAAAUGCUGUGGGCUAUGGAGCCGUUGGCUGUGCCAUCGGCGGUUGAGGCACCAGGAAACGCCCUGGAAUGGGCUACCACAGAGGGCUAUCGUCCCCUACACAGAGCAGAAGUGCCUCGACCGUCGGUGGUGUGGCCGGCGACAUCCCUGAGUAGAGUGGCUUGGGACUGCAGUUUGAAGUGUGAGGUGUAUCCAUCACAAGGAGGAAUACAGACCUGGGACCGAUAGAGCACAAGUAGAGCGAUCGAAUGAUGCAAAGGACUUUGCAAAGAGGGUUAAACGUCCCUGAAGCCUCGGCAGGAACGGCGGUGAGUGGUGCUGUGGGAAACACCCAGUCAGGCAGUCUCCAAACCCUCCGGUCCCCAGUGAGUGGUGGACUGGAUCGUGAGGGGCUGACUGGGUCACUAUCGGCUCUUCCAAGCGACCUUGGGCCAGCCCCAGGCUGGCCACUGAGCCCCUGCCCCUCGGGGUGGGGAUGCAGUCCUGGUAGCCCUUGGGGUGGCACCCUGCUCGUCAGGGCCCAAGGCUCCGUCGUUGAAUGUGCGUUGAAUCUCCAGACCAGAGGGGUGAGCCCGGCGUGUCGUCCCCACUCAGGGGCAGAGAUCGCCUGGUGAGCCCCAACCCAGCUGGCAAGUGAACGAUGAGGGUGCUGACACAAUCCCAGAAAAACCCUGGUGCUGUCUCCGGACGGUCGCCAGGUCGCCGGGUCUGCAAAGGCUUGGGGUGUGGUGGCUGCAUGGUGACUGCACCAUUCCGAUGGUGGUCGCUGGCUGGUCGCCUGCCCCCCGCUGGGGAUCCGGUGCCGAUGGGCAGUUGAGCUUGGCAAAAAAAUGGCAGUGCCACCCUCUACCCGUCUUGAAACACGGACCAAGGAGUCUAUGGAGCUUGCAAAGUGGCACGGUUCAGCAUAUCCCCUCAGAGGAACCCUCAGUGCGUGGUGAAGGCAACUGAUCAAUCCCAGAUGGGUGCCCCUGCAUGGGAUCACCGGAUCCAAAGUCCAUUGGACAGGGUUUUGAGUGCUUGCAAUUUCCAUGGGACCCGAAAGGUGGUGAACUAUACUGUUCUACAACGAAGCCAUGGGAAACUGUGGUGGAAGUUGGUCGCUGUUCUGACGUGCAAAUCGUGUAGCCUGAGCGCGGCAUAGGGGUGAAAGGCCAAUCGAACCACCUAGUAGCUGGUUCCCUUCGAAGUUUCCCUCAGGAUAGCUGGGCUCGAUUGUGUAAGCAUCCGCUCAAUGAGUGGUUACGUCUGGUAAAGCAACGCAUGAGAGGCAAAUCUGGGGAGCACCUGCUCCUCAACCUAUUCUCGAACUGUGAAUGGGCGUGGCAAAACCCAACGGCAUGCUUCUUCACAACGCCUGGAGGCCGCUCAGCAGCGGUUCUCCCUGGCCUCUGAGCGUGUUUGGCUAGACCAGGGCGGCCGGCCUCCCCUCGUGGGAUGGAUCCGACCACCGAGUUACCGUCGGGGUGAAGAGUCCCUCCCUGGGGCCUCGCCUUUGGCAUCUGUGGCAAGUGGUGCAUGGUGCAAUGGGUCCCAUCUGACACCCAGUUAUCGCUGGUGUGGAGGAGACAGGCCGCUGAUCUGCGAGAUUUGAACACAAAGGUGCCUAUGUGGGCCAUGACUGGUAAGCAGUGCUGGCGAUGCGGGGUGCUCCGAGAGCCGAUUUACAGAUCCCAAGUGCUGGCUCAUACUCAGAUCCCACAAAGGGUGUUGCUUGCUCUGGAUAGCAGGACGGUGGCCAUGAAGGUUGGAAUCCGCUGAGGAGUGUGUAACAACUCACCUGCCGAAGCGAGCAGCCCCAAAAAUGGAUGGUGCCCAAGUCAGUGAGUGUCUAUUCCCUCACAAUCGGCCGUUGCUGUGGAAGGAUCCCCUGGGAAAAGCAGAGCAUCAUCGUGUAGAAAGGGCAUGAGGGACCGCUGCUCCGGUUGGGUCUGUCCCCAGCUGGAGCGUCCCCUAGAGCAGAUCUUGGUUGUAGUAGCAAGUACUCCAUCGAGUGAAGGGCGGCAAACACAACUCCGCUGUGUGCGGUUGAGGACUGGAGUGGAGCAGGUUUCCACACCAAACAGCCGUUGAAUGUGGGUCAACCGACCGUGAGCCAAGUGGUAAGUUCACCAAACAACCAAAGCUGUCGUGAGGGCCUCUCUCCCUGGGCAGGGCUAGCCCUGGAACUGUGUGGGAAUGGUGCACCGAUCCCAACCCCAGUCUGUGGGGCACGCCAUCGCCUUUGCCUGGUUCUGAACCAGGACUUGCCAUGUGGGCAACGGCGGUGUGUGUGGAGUGGAUGUGCAACCAAUCGCUGAGCAGCGAAUCCCCCUUUCCAUGGGCCCCCUGUGGGGUAGGGCUGAGCCAAGAUGACAGGGCUGGCAAACAGGCAUGCGAGUGCAACAUUCUGCUGUGGUGGGGUUGGGGCGCUUUGCGGUGGCGACACCCAAAGUCCGAGCCAAUCAAGCUUAGGGGCAGUGAAGCCCCCGAGGAGUUGUCGUUUCCUCCUGAUGCAAGACCCAUGUGGGCUAUCGAUCGGCAUGCCAAGUGGGGGUGUAGCCCUCCGCUCAGCAAGGCAGCGUGGCCUCCACGCUGGUGGUCUCAGUUUCCAAAAGGCAAAAACCCAUGAGCUCUCCGGCCGAGCAGAGCAGGCUCUCAGAUAACAAGUGGUAGUCACUGGCUCCAAUGAAAGGCUUGAACGGCUGGGGUGCCCCAGAUCCCUGGCCGUCGUACUGAAUCACCGCAGCUGGUCUCCUUGACGAGAAGUCGCUAGUCCACAGACGAAAUGCAGCUAAGGGAAGUCGGCAAACUGGCUGCGCACCUUCGGAAGAUGCAGUGGCUCCAGAGGCCAAGUCGUUGAGGUCCCGCUGAGAGCCUGCUGUGGGGUGGGGCAGCUCCGGUUCCCCUGUGGUGUAGCUCGUCUGCGCCAUGGAUGGGGGGCUGGACGCCCUGCUCUGCACUGGUCAUGAGAUUCCUGCCUGCCUGUUGCGCUCCCUGGCCUGGUGGUCGCUGUGGUAUGUCCCACAGUGGCAGCAUAAUGGUGAUGUGAACCCUCAGAGAGGAUAUGUCGGCAAAGUGGUGGCGUGGUGAACCACCCAGUGAAGCAAAUCAACGGCAGGUGCUGCUCUCCUUGCUCUCUCGGUGGGGGCUGCCAGCCCUCGGGCUGUGCGGCCACCCUCUCGUCUACAGAAGUGGCUCAUGUGGAACUGUUGCUGUGCAGGGGAAUCUGACUGUUUAAUUGAAACCCAGCUUUGUGAAGGGACCAGCUGGCUGGUGCCAUGAGGUGACUUCUGCCCAGUGCUCUGAUUGUCAAUCCCAAGAGAUUGAGGCAAGCGCGGGUAAACGGCGGGAGUAACUAUGACUCUCUUAAGGUAGCCAAAUGCCUCGUCAACCAAUUAUUGACGCGCAUGAAUGGAUCAACGAGAUUCCUGCUGUCCCUAGUCGCUGUCUGGUGAACCAACAACCAAGGGAACGGGCUUGGAUGUGUCAGCGGGGAAAGAAGAGCCUGUUGAGA